AUUGAACGCUGGCGGCAGGCCUAACACAUGCAAGUCGAGCGGAUGAGGGGAGCUUGCUCCCUGAUUUAGCGGCGGACGGGUGAGUAAUGCCUAGGAAUCUGCCUGGUAGUGGGGGAUAACGUUCCGAAAGGAACGCUAAUACCGCAUACGCCCUACGGGAGAAAGCAGGGGACCUUCGGGCCUUGCGCUAUCAGAUGAGCCUAGGUCGGAUUAGCUAGUUGGUGAGGUAAUGGCUCACCAAGGCGACGAUCCGUAACUGGUCUGAGAGGAUGAUCAGUCACACUGGAACUGAGACACGGUCCAGACUCCUACGGGAGGCAGCAGUGGGGAAUAUUGGACAAUGGGCGAAAGCCUGAUCCAGCCAUGCCGCGUGUGUGAAGAAGGUCUUCGGAUUGUAAAGCACUUUAAGUUGGGAGGAAGGGCUGCUGGUUAAUACCCUGCAGUUUUGACGUUACCAACAGAAUAAGCACCGGCUAACUUCGUG
rnacentral:rRNA from 1 species